rnacentral:rRNA from 1 species
AACGAACGCUGGCGGCAGGCUUAACACAUGCAAGUCGAACGGGCGUAGCAAUACGUCAGUGGCAGACGGGUGAGUAACACGUGGGAACCUUCCUAGGGGUACGGAACAACUCAGGGAAACUUGAGCUAAUACCGUAUACGUCCGAGAGGAGCAAGAUUUAUCGCCCUUAGACGGGCCCGCGGCGGAUUAGGUAGUUGGUGGGGUAACGGCCUACCAAGCCGACGAUCCGUAGCUGAUCUGAGAGGAUGAUCAGCCACACUGGGACUGAGACACGGCCCAGACUCCUACGGGAGGCAGCAGUGGGGAAUCUUGGACAAUGGGCGCAAGCCUGAUCCAGCCAUGCCGCGUGAGUGAAGAAGGCCUUAGGGUUGUAAAGCUCUUUUGGCAGGGACGAUAAUGACGGUACCUGCAGAAUAAGCCCCGGCAAACUUCGUGCCAGCCGCCGCCGUAAAAC